rnacentral:rRNA from 1 species
ACGUAGGUGGCAAGCGUUGUCCGGAAUUAUUGGGCGUAAAGCGCGCGCAGGCGGUCCUUUAAGUCUGAUGUGAAAGCCCACGGCUCAACCGUGGAGGGUCAUUGGAAACUGGGGGACUUGAGUGCAGAAGAGGAAAGUGGAAUUCCACGUGUAGCGGUGAAAUGCGUAGAGAUCGGGAGGAAGGCCGGUGGCGAAGGCGGCGCUCUGGAACAUUUCUGACGCUGAGGCUCGAAAGCGUGGGGAGCAAACAGGA